UACGUAGGAGACGAGCGUUGUCCGGAGUUACUGGGCGUAAAGGGUGCGCAGGUGGUUGUGCGCGUGGGGGUGAAAUCGCCCGGCUCAACUGGGCGGGGUCAGCGGAUACGGCGGAGCUUGAGCAAGCUAGGGGGCAAUGGAAUUCCCGGUGUAGUGGUGGAAUGCGUAGAUAUCGGGAGGAACACCAGUGGCGAAGGCGGUUGCCUGGGGCUUUGCUGACGCUGAUGCGCGAAAGCGUGGGGAGCGAUCCGG
rnacentral:rRNA from 1 species